AGUGAACGCUGGCGGUAGGCCUAACACAUGCAAGUCGAACGGCAGCACAGUAAGAGCUUGCUCUUACGGGUGGCGAGUGGCGGAUGGGUGAGGAAUACAUCGGAAUCUACUUUUUCUUGAGGGAUAACGUAGGGACACUUACGCUAAUACUGCAUACGACCUACGGGUGAAAGCAGGGGAUCUUCGGACCUUGCGCGAUUCUAUGAGCCUAUGUCGGAUUAGCUAGUUGGCGGGGUAAAGGCCCACCAAGGCGACGAUCCGUAGCUGGUCUGAGAGGAUGAUCAGCCACACUGGAACUGAGACACGGUCCAGACUCCUACGGGAGGCAGCAGUGGGGAAUAUUGGACAAUGGGCGCAAGCCUGAUCCAGCCAUACCGCGUGGGUGAAGAAGGCCUUCGGGUUGUAAAGCCCUUUUGUUGGGAAAGAAAAGCAGCAGGUUAAUACCCCGCUGUUCUGACGGUACCCAAAGAAUAAGCACCGGCUAACUUCGUG
rnacentral:rRNA from 1 species